AAAGACCAGAGAAGCAUUGUGUACUCUACUCUACCUACUAGUAUACUUUUAUCGUCUUCUACCUGAGAGUUGAGAGUCCAGUCCAGUCCACCGUACCGUGCCAUCGUGCUGCCACGGCAAGUCUAGACUCUAGUUGGAGCACUACAGACAUCUUGGACUUGGAGGUCAAUUCGAAAGCAGCAGGGCAGCUUCUACAUGCCACCAAUGCAUGCA
rnacentral:lncRNA from 1 species